UCUGAAUAAAAGCUGUUUUUUUUCACUAUAACUCAAAGAAUUUGGCGGCUAGUUAUUUUCCAGAGGAACCGGUUUAUUAAUUGAUAAACCACGAUAGUUUAAACUUUCUUUUUAUUCAUAUAUCUCUAUGUUUAGAAUGUUUUAAUAGAAUAUUUUCUUUUUGAUUUUUAUUCAUAAAUUUUAGGUCAAGGUGUGGUUUUAAGAAUAGAUUAAGUGGGUUACUUGAGUUUUAAUUUUAAUAUUGUAAUUGAUUUAAAUUUAUUAUUUUUUAGGAUUUGGUAGUAAUUCAAAUUAAUUAAUUUUUAUGAAUUAA
rnacentral:rRNA from 1 species